UAGGAAUUGGCGGGGGAACACACAAGCAGUGGAUUGUCUAGAUUAAUUGGAUAACAAGCCAAGAAUCUUACCUAGACUUGACAUGCAAUGUGUCAUAUAUGAAAGUAUAUUAAUCCAUAGCAAUAUGGAUGCUUUGCACAGGUGGUGCAUGGUCGUCGUCAGCUCGUGCCGCAAGGUGUCUAGUUAAGUCUAGAAACGAGCGCAACCCUCAUCUUUAGUUAGAAUGUCUAAAGAGACUGCCCGGGCAACCGGGAGGAAGGAGAGGAUGACGUCAGAUCCUCAUGCCCCUUAUGUCUAGGGCUUCAUAGACAAUACAAUGGGUAGUAACAGCGAGAAGCGAUAUCGUAAGAUGGAGCAAAUCUUCAAACCUACCCCUAGUUCGGAUUGUAAUCUGGAACCUGAUUACAUGAAGUUGGAAUUGCUAGUAAUGGCGAAUCAGCCAUGUCGCCGUGAAUAUGUCCCUGUUCCUUGCACUCACCGCCCGUCAAACCAUGGGAGCUGAAAUUCUUUGAAGAUCCGCC
rnacentral:rRNA from 1 species